rnacentral:rRNA from 1 species
CUACGUGCCAGCAGCCGCGGUAAUACGGAGGGUGCGAGCGUUAAUCGGAAUAACUGGGCGUAAAGGGCACGCAGGCGGUGACUUAAGUGAGGUGUGAAAGCCCCGGGCUUAACCUGGGAAUUGCAUUUCAUACUGGGUCGCUAGAGUACUUUAGGGAGGGGUAGAAUUCCACGUGUAGCGGUGAAAUGCGUAGAGAUGUGGAGGAAUACCGAAGGCGAAGGCAGCCCCUUGGGAAUGUACUGACGCUCAUGUGCGAAAGCGUGGGGAGCAAACAGGAUUAGAUACCCUGGUAGUCCACGCUGUAAACGAUGUCGAUUUGGGGGUUGAACUUUAAGYUUGGCGCCCGUAGCUAACGUGAUAAAUCGACCGCCUGGGGAGUACGGCCGCAAGGUUAAAACUCAAAUGAAUUGACGGGGGCCCGCACAAGCGGUGGAGCAUGUGGUUUAAUUCGAUGCAACGCGAAGAACCUUACCUACUCUUGACAUCCAGA